UGUCAUACUCCUAGAUCAAGACCUUUGACCUUUUUGAAGAGUUUGUCAUCUCUUACUGGCAUAUUGCUUAUUAGAGGGACCAUGGGCUAUCAUUUUUUUCCUUUUUUUUUUCUUUUUUUUAGUCUUUUUUUUCAAGUGGGCAGCAAGUACCCCUAAUUCUACUGUCGGACACAUGUCCAUUUUUUUCCACUCAGGUGGGUAUCUUUGUACCCCUAAUUCUACUUCGGACACUUGUCCAUUUUUACCUCUCAUCUCACUCUUUUUUUUUCGAAUCAAAUUUUUGCAUAGUCCCAUGCCUCUAACGCAAUAAUACUUCGGAAGAGUGAAUCUUUUAUAUUUUUUAAAAAAAAAGAUCUUGAUCUUGGGAGCAUGAUAAUUCUCUCAACCAAAACUACAAGAAUUAACAAUGGCUUGAACAAAGAAAGUAUCCACAGUUUUAAUAUUUAUUUCUUAUAAGAAUCUAGGUAUUAUGAUCUCAUAUAUUUUUUAUGAAUUUUUAGAUUUUCAAAAGAUAAAAUCUCCAGAACUCUAGCAAAACUUGGAACAAGUUAAAUAGUAGCUCAGACCUUCUCAUAUCAUGUUUGUCAAUUACCUAGACUUGAAUCAAACUUUCUUUUUAUUUUAUUUAAAACUUAGUAUUACAUAAAACUAUUAUAUAUUACUCAAAACAAAAACUGUGUUUGGUUUCAUGGUUAUGCAUUUUUUUUAUUUCCGAAUACUAGUAAAUAAAACUAAGAAAGAAAAAUAAUACUUAUCUUGAUUUAUUUUUUUUAUUUAGCAAACUAAGCAAAGAUAUAUAUAAGCAUAAAAUCUUUAUUUGGGUUUUUAUGAUUAUGCAUCUUUUUAUUAUUUGAGUAAAGUAUAAACGUGAGUAGAACACUUAGUUGGAUAAAUGGGGGUGCUCUCCCCCAAGCUGGAUUUUGACAUAAUUUCUUCUGAUGUAGCUAGCAGGUGGCGGAGGUGUAUUUGAAUGUCGGCAGCACUCUGACAGCGAUUAGGAUGUCCUUCGUCUGCUAGUCUUCUUUGAUCCUUGAAUUCUGUGGAGCUCAAAUAGACAACAAAGCUUUGUGGAACUAGUUAAGUGUUAGCAUAAAUAUCUAGCCUUUAUCAUGUUGGGCCUCCUCAAUAAAUGUUACUCAUUACUAGGAUCAUAAUUUUAUUUUUAUAAUUUUAUUUUUAUAGGACAGGAAUAUAUUUAUUUUAUUUUUAUGCCACCACAGUGAAUGUACUUAUGGGCAUGGGGCUUACUAUUUUUAACAUUUUUAUUUUCUUUUUAAGUUGAUAUGAACCUGAUUAACUAAGCAAACUAUUUUAAAUAAUUGAAAGGGAAAAAGGGAUAACUACCAAGUUUAACUCUUACCAAGGCGUUCGGUGUUUUUAAGUCCUCCGAACGGGACUCUCUAUUUUCUCAGUUGUCCUGGGAUUCGCUGGAUGGCGUAGUCAGUGGUUCCGGCGGCGCCUGGUCUUCAUGUAUAACUAUCUUCUCUCUCCACACCUGACACGGUGCUACAGUCUCCUCAGGACAGUUCUGUUCAAGUUGUAUGUCUUCAGACCUUACCACUUCUCCUUCAUAAUCCGCCCAUUCGUCCUUGAUAAUUUGCCUACUCUGGUUGCGGUUGCGUCGUCUUCUUCUUGUCCUGACCUGCUUAGAGUCUUUCAACUAUGUAGUUAAGGUUAGUAAAAUAGUGGCGUACCUUUUCAGAGGAGAAGUGCAUGUGGGCUCCGCCGGUUCCAAUGUAGAUGAUUGCUUUAACGGUGUUGAGGAACGGUCUUCCAAGGAUGAUGGGUGGAUCGUACUCGUCUUCUCCUAUGUCAAUAACUUCAACCUUCUGAAAUGUUUGAUCUGCCAUCUGGAGCUGGGUGUAUGUCGGUUUUAAGGGCAUGAUUCCCAACAGAAGCUGAUAGGUAACUAAGUCGUCCUUUUUGGUCAGGAACGGUGACUUAAAUAGAUGAUCUUGACCUCCUUGAACUGCAGUGACCAUCUUAGCUGACUCGGUCCACACUUGCUUGUUCUUGUUCCUCCUGUUGGUCCUCUUCCUUGGUUCAUGUCGGGAAUGCUCUGAGAUUGUGUAGUCUUAUUCUUGAAGGAAAAUGUCUCAUUUCUCCCUUUGAUGUAGAAACUGAUCUUGGCAGCACUAGCGUAGAUGACAGCUCCCGAGGUGUUCAGGAAUGGCCUCCCUAAGAUGGGUGCCCUCUCAUCAGUAUCAGUCUCUAUCACCACGAAGUUUGCUGGGGCGUACAAGGUACCAACUCGAACGCAGAGGUUCUUCAAUAUUCCCUUUGGGAAACUUAGUGUCUGAUCUGCAGGCUUGGGCAUUAUGUUGACGCUGGAGCCAAAGUCGCAGAGUGCUUCUAGGAAGUCCACCAUGCCGAUGGAGAUCGGGAUGACGGGGCAUCCUGGGUUGUCUCUCUUGACCGGCAGAAGGUCAGUAAUUACUUCCACUACGGGGUUACUCCAGUAGUUACGUCCUCAAGCAUCUCAGGGCAGUGAUUGCCUGAGUGUCUAGUAUCUCCAGUGUGUUUGUGCUCCUAGAUCUAGGUUCUUCACUUGGUGGAGUCUGGGAGUUGUAAAACUCCUUCAUAUUUUGUUUGAAGUAUACCUGCUCAUAAAGACAAGGCAGAGAUCAAGUGCCUGGGCCCUGUUGGUCGAAAACACCAACAGAACCAAAAGUGUAUUUGUUCUUCUCUAACCUUAAGCAUAGUGAGCAAGACAAAGUUGAAGGAUAAUAAGAUCAUGAGUGUAGCAUUUAAAGCAUUUGUCAGAUCAGAUCGCUCAACCUAAUGGAAAAAUAAUCUAUCUAUAUUUAUGUUGUUUUGUUUUUUUAUAAAAUAUAUCUUCCAAAGAUUGAGUGUGCAACAUUUUAGCUCAUAUGAUUAGGAGUGUGGGAUCACAAAGGUGGAAUGACUAAACAUAUUGAAUCGACUGGGUUGGUUAAUCUAGAUUUGUAAACCAUACAUGUUUGUCUCUUUUAUUCAUGUGAACGCCAGAACCAAGGAGAAGCUUAUAAAAGUGAUAGUCAAGUACCUUAAGAUGUUACCUUACUUGAAGAGUGAUGGUACGGUAUCUCCUUGUGGAAGCUUUCCUUUCUUAGCGGUUGUGCAUCGUGUUUGUAGCACCCUCCAUGGAUCAUCUCUUGUGAGCUAUGCCUUCCUUGUGUAAAUUGUUAAACUUCAUGUGCCUCUCUCUUUGUCAAAAAUGUGAGUGUAUCUCAGGACUUCCCAGGUCGAUAGUGAAAGUUUUCCUGUAGGGGUUAGUCCAACAAAAUAUCCCAUAUCUACUAUAGCAUACUAUCGGCUCAAAAAUCAACCUAGACACCAUGUCUAAUUUGAUUCAGGAGGGAUUUUUUAACCUAAGCACCAUGCUUAAUUUAAAACCAAUUGGAAGUAAGAUCAUCAUUCCUAAACUAAGCACCAAGCUCAAUUAAGAGAUAAAUGAAACUACUCCAAACCUAGACAUAUACUAAAGCAAAUAAAGGUAGCAUGAGAGCAUUUAUAGAGAUCUACUCAAGUGGAGAUGAAGUAGUGUGAUUAGUAUUUAACAAAUUGAGCAUGUCUCAAUGGUAGGGUCAACCAAUAUAGCAACAUGGCAAAGGAUGUUUUUAUGUAAAGUACUCCCCCAAGCUUGAAUUUUGCAAAAUUCAAGUUUGGAUGAAUUUAAUUCAAUGUUGUAUGAUGAUUGGUUGUACAUACCUUGUGCUUGUCAUUCAUCCGAUCUUCUUGCUCCAAUCCUGGAAAGGUUAGUGACAAGAAUACCCGAAGGAAUUUUUUUACAAUUAUCCUUAUAUGCUCAAUACACAAGUUAAUGUUGCAAAUAAUAAAAAGUUCAUGUUAUAAUCUGAUUAGUGCUUGUUUUAGGACACUAAGCUUGUCCUUGGGAAACCAUCAAUUUAUGUCAGUGAAGUGGUUUCCCCUCCAACGCUGACCUAUAUCAAGAUCAACUCAACGAGAUCUGCAAAAUUUAUUAUAAACAUAUGCAUCGACAACCGCCCUUUUAAAGUUUUUGUAAAUAUAAAGGAAGAGGGGGUUGGAGAUCUCGAAUGUGGUGAUGUUGGAGAGACCAAUGGAUUGUGAAGAUGUUGCAUAUGAGCAUGGAGUAAAUGAAGUGGCUAUGAAAUAAAUUCCAUGCUCAUUAAUGCUUAGAGUGAAAUCCAUGUGGUAUGGUGAAAAUGAUAAGGUGAGUGUGGUAAAAAAAAGAAAAGAAAAAGGAUACACGGACAACUUGGUUCGAAACUAGCACAGCUACCGUUCCCCGGCAACGGCGCCAGAAAGCUUGUUGGGUAUUUUAAACGCAAACAGAAAAAAUCUGCAAGCGCACGGAUACCGAUGUAGCUUUCACCCGGGAGUAUUCCAGAGUAUCGAUUUUCCACAGAGAACGUGAGUGUACUAAUUAAGAUCCAAGAUCACCCAAGGAUAACUAUAUAAUUAUUUUUGGUGGGAAGAGAGAAAGUUUUCUGAGAGUUCUCUAGUUGAUCUAAGAAUCAAGAAUUACUUCAAGAUUAUCUAUAUCGGGACAUCAGAGCACUAACCACAUAAAGAGAUGAGAAGGGGGCUAGGAAGGUCUGACUACGGUCCUACAAACACCGAUCCGAACGUGGUGGAAUACGUCGACCGUUAGGUCUGUCACUACCCUAAGGCUACCACAACAAUCCACAGGAUUGGGUGCAAUUCCAGGUAAUUGCAAGACUAAACACCACGUCAAAUCUAUUAAUUACUACUCUAGCGUUAUAAAGACUAGAGCACUUGAUGCAAGCGGGAAUCCAAUAAAUAACUUGAAUGUAAAUAAAAGUAAUUAAAGAACUCAGGAAUUAUGAAUUGAAGAACCUGGAGAACGAUGAAGAACGAACCAGAUGUUGCAAAAGUAUAAUGUUGAGGAAGAUCCGACAGAUCCGGCUCCUCCUCCGCUCUCCUCUUCUCUCUCCCUAUUUUCUAGAUUACAACUAGUACUAACUAGAACUAGAACUAGAGGAACUAGAACUAGAACUAGAUGAACUAGAACUAGAUCUAGAUGAACUAGAGGUAGAACUAGAAGAACUAGAGGGAUCCUCUCUACUUGGAUGAAGAAUUGAAACCCUAACUUUGAUUCUGUAGAAGAGGUAUGAUCUCCAGGGGCCAGGGGGGUCUGGUUUUAUAGUCUCUUCAAGUGAAUCUGGGCCGUCGGAUCAAACCGACAUUGAUUGAACGGUUAUUGUUGAUCCUUUAGGUCGGUGGAGCAAUAUCCCGAAAGAGAGUCCUGAUUGGACUCUGGCUGAGGGCGGGCGCCCAAGAAAGGACGGCAGGCGCCCUGUCCCUGUGUCCUCUCGGCCUCCGCUUCGGUCCCGUGGCUUUUGGAGUCUUCUAGAUGAUAGAAAAUUGCGCGGCACAUUAAUAUCUCUAUGUAAACCCGACGUGUGGGCCUUUCUUCCAUAUUUCCUGAUAACCCCCUGCAGAAAUACACAAACACCAAAACUCGUGGAAUUCUAUCAGAUAAAACCCUAAGUCUAGGUGUUGGUUGCAUAUAAGUCCUUUUCUAUGAUUAAUUGAUGGUUAAAUAUGAGCAUUGAGGACCGUCAACACCCUCAUAAAGAGUUUGGAAGAAUCGGCUGACCUGGUCUUCAUUGCCACCAGUACCAGGUAAGACUAUGGCAGCCUCACCAUAGUUUAAGGGUGGGCGAGUUGCCGAUUCUUCAUUAGCCAAUUCGUGAUCUUUGGCAAUAUCUCUGGGAAAGCGUUGUGCAAAGAGGUCGAAUCCAAGGCGUUUGUGCAUGUGAACACUGAGCCACAUGUUAAUGAACCACCAAGGACCUCCUAAGUUGCCGAUAGGUUGGCCUAAUAGAAGUUUCUCAGCAACUUGAUGGAGAAGGUGAUAAGCAGAACCAAGCAAGUAUCGGCCGAGAGCAAAUCGGCCGCCAUCGGCCAGUCUUUCUGCUGCCGAUAAAUAGACAGAGGUUGGUCCUACCGAUCGGCCACAGAAAACGAACCUGUCUAACCACAUGUUCAGGAAAACAGCAUGCUCCCUCUGACCGACUGGCCCUGUUUUUCGGUACUUCUGAAUGUAUCCUGACCAACCGCCGAUGUUGCGGGUUUCUACUUUGCGCUCAGGUUUGCGAUCAUAUAGAUGGUUAUCAUCGGCAGUUGAUAUGUCUAAACCAGUGAGCAUGAGCACAUCGGCAAGAGUAGGGGAAGCAGGGCCAUGACUAAACACAAAGGCAUUGAGGGUAUCUGACUAGAAGUAUGAAGCAACUAUCAAUAGCGAUUCAUUUCUUCCCAUAUCGGCAAUGGAUAGCCUAAUGCACUGAUCUUGUUUGCGCUCACCCCAUUGGAAUUCAUUUGAGUUGCCAAUUCUCAGAAACCAAUCUUUCCACCCAUUGGUAGAACUAGGCCAGGAUCGAAAGGUAUCUUUCCACAGAUCUAGUGAGAAGUUCUCAGCUCUAAAGGGGAUCCUAUUUGUUUCUGCAUUUAUCCAGCCGGUAGGAUCUGGGUUUCCCAAUGGACCAAGGCAUUGGAAGUGGGGUUGAUCGGUAGGAAUAACAAUUUUCUCGGUCAAUUCCUAAAGAAAUAAAAUACCAAGUAAAUAACUGCGCGAGAGAUCAAAAAUACAGUGAAAAGAAGAAAGGUGAUCCUAAAUUGACCUCAGGAACGACGAAGUUGAUUGCCAUUUCUUUCCGAGAGGAAGAAGGGAUCAAAGACUCAGAAGAUCGUUGGAGGAGAUCCUUGCCGGAGUUCUUGAGUUUCUUGAACAGUGCCGCCGCGAGGAAGGUGGGUUUGAGGAUGUGGAAUGACGAGAUGGAGGAAGAGUACCGGAGAAGGCAGUAUUUAUAGGGUAAAGUGAGCAGGGGCAUUUUUGACUUAUCUCUUUGCCACAUCCGUGAAAUCCGAGGAUGAUCAAUUGGAUAUGGUAACUGUUCGCACGGCAAUGAAGGGAUUAUGCAGGUGAUUUUACAGCAAGCGGUCAUGAUUUUGAAGAUAUUUUACUGUGUGAGAUCUCCUGGUUGGCUGAUCGGUAGUUUCUCUCUAAUGGAUAUAUUGCCGAUGAACGUAUAUUUAGGAGAUUCGGUUCGAAAAGUUGAGAGAUUCAGGUAUAUGCUAGAGAACCGGACUGAGGUUGUUUGAAUUUGGCAAUUAAUGACCAUCAGGGGGAAAUAAUUGCAAAAAGGGCGUAUUUAUUGGAGACAAUUUCGGAGCAUCCGUUUUUGGACAUGUAUCUUUGGACGCGUAUCUGGAGUUAAUGAGGCGUGGAUCGGCAGGUAGAAAAGUGGUGACUAGUUGAGGGGGGUUGGUGCCAAUGAGAAAACGUCAGAAUGUGGCCAAGUCCAGGAGUGGUGAUGGAUCUAUGCCGAUGACUGGUGCUGAUGGUUGCCGAUGGCUAUGAGAGGUGGUUCACCGGUGGUCACAAGGGAAGGCACAGGAAUUAUCGGUCAGGUCAUGGUGGUGUACGGAUCGGUUGUGGAAGAUAACUUAAUGUUUUUCAUAGUUAGUAGAGUUUGUUUUGUAUACGGAUUCCGUUCAAUUUGGAAUUCGAGUCCUAGUCAUGUUUGAUUGUAACCCUUUUGGGCCAGGUAUAAAUAUGAGACUCCGUAGCGAUGUAUGAACAUACACAAUCAAUUCCAGCAUCUACUUUUUCGACGACUUCGUUAACCUGCAUAUUUUUCCUUUUACUACGAGUUCUUUGGAAUUCUUCGAGUCAACUGUUGACGGUCCUUAAGUAUCAAAUUUAAUUAUCAAAUAAAUAAAGAAAAGGAUCCAAAUGAAAUCAAAAUCUAGACUUAGGGUUUUAUCUGACAGAAUUCCACGAGUUUCGGUGUUUGUCUAUUUCUGCAGGGGGUUAUCAGGAAAUACGGAAGAAAGGCCCACACGUCGGGAUUACAUAGAGAUAUUAACAAGCCGUGCAAUUAUCUUACAUCUAGAAGACUCCAGAAGCCACGAGACCGAAGCGGAGGCGAAACGGGGCCAGAGGCAGGGCGCCCGCCCUCCUGCCCUGGGCGCCCACCCCCUCUGAGAGUCCAAUCAGGACUCUGGUUUGUGGGAGAUCUCCACCGACCUAAAGGAUCAAGGAUAACCGUUCAAUCUAAGUCGGUUUGAUCCAACGGCCCAUAUUCACUUGAAGGGACUAUAAAACCAGACCCCCUGGCCCCUGGAGGAGAUAGCCUCUCAACCCUAAUUCGUUAUUCUUCAAGGGAGAAGAAGCCCCUGAUCAAGAUUAGGGCCACCACAUCAAUUAGACAUCUAGAUUAGCAUAGCUACAUAGGAUUAGAACUAGAAGGAGUCAAUCUUCGAUUGGUUUCCGGAUCUGUCAAGAGGAUUCUUGGUAAUUCUCUAAUUGUGCUUCUAAUUGCUUUCUAAUUAUCUUUGUUCUUCAAUAUUAUGAAUAUGACUUUGUUCUACUUCAAUAUAUUGCAUAUGACUUUGCUCUACUUGUUUAUAUUCAAGAUUAUAUUGUUCUUAGUUUAUCAUAGUUAUGUACUUGGCUUAGUUAGAUUGGAUCUAUAUACAUGCUUAGGAUCGUAUAGCGUUUAUCCAUCGGAUCCAUGGGUAAAUGAUAGAUAUUGUGUAGGCGUGGUGCUUAUACCGUAUUUAUCUGCGAUUGUACCCAAUAUGCCAGAUCGUGGGGUAGUUCGUGAUAGUGACAGCUUCAUUGAUUCUUAUAUAGUCCCCCUCUCGUGUAUUGGGCUGGCAGAGCAACAUUAUUAUAGGGUAGUGAUUGCUAUGUUUCUCAUUUACCUUGCUAAUAUCACUAUGCAUGGGUGUAGUCUUGUCUCACAAUGAUUGCUAAGUAUGCUUGCACUAACUAUGAUAAUGCUAGACUAUAUAGUUGAGAAUAACUUAGGAAAUAUUCUUGUAGUUCGUUCUAAUUCCAUGCUAAUGACUUUCUAGAGUAUCUAAUUGAGGUGCUUAUCAUAUUUAUAUGUGGCUAGUUAUGAUCAGAUUAAUUAUCCUUGUCACUAUUCAUUAUUUCAUAUAUCUUUUAUGUGACACUUACCCCUGUAUGAAAGAGUUAGAUAUAUGUUCUCAAUUAUACAUGCAAUGAUAGAUACUCAAUCUCAUAUUCUAUUCUAUAAUCAAUAUUGAUGAUUGUUAAUCCCUUCCCAGUGGUAAAAAUAUAAAUAACGAUACUUGGAAUACUUCCCGGUUAAAAUACUACAUCGGUAUUAAUCUGUGCGCUUGCAGAUCCCAUUCAUUAUUUAUUUAGAAGAGCAAUUGCAUAUUUCAAUACCGCGUCUCUCAUGUCAUGCUGGGGAUGACAACUUGGCUUAAGUGGUAUGAGGGAUAGGUUUGGCAUUUUUGGAACCGUUACAAGAAUUAGGAAUUGUCUACUUUUGGUAGUGAUGUUAAGAAUACCCAACAUCAACCUCGGCGAAUUCUCGAGUUCCGUGUGAAUACUUCUUGGACGUGACAUCCUGGCGCAUCGUUGUUGUUGGGACCAAAGUAUUCGAGUUACCACCUUUGUCGAUUGUAAGGACAAAUCGGCUGGCACGGCAUAACGUUGGAUCAGGUAUUAGCCCUUUGUGUUUGCAGAUCUACUUUUGCAUCAACAGUAGUCGGUUUGGCUCUGGGCCUGGAUCUCUCCCGUGGUUACGAUCAGGCCCAGCUCUGCGUUGUUCGGACCUUUCUCUAUUUUCUUGGUUUGCGCAUUUCUGAAUAAAUCUUUUGGUACUUUGCGCUUUCUUCAUGGUAUGGCACAUUUUCACUUGUUGCACUAUAAUUCCUGCAAAAUAUAAUCACUAUGGUACAAGUGGAACUUGUUAGUAAUAAAAUGCAUGUGUGUAUAUAAUAUGAUUGCUUCUUCUCCUUUUGGAUCAAGUUGGCAGUUUAUAAUUGGUCUAUAAUGACUGCCAACACCUAUCUCUCUGCUCUCGCACUACAAACACAUCCUGGCUCAGCGCACUGCUCCUCUGAACUGCCUAUUCUCUCCUAGUAGUCAAGCAGGCAAGCUCCGCCUGCAACCUCUCGACCUCACUACCGAAGUCACGCUACGUAGCACUUCUCAUCAUAGACUGUCAGCAACGACCCAGUCAAGCACCCCAAACAGUGCUGUAGACCCCCAUAGGUCAUCAUCAUGGUGAACAUGACACUUACAGCUACACUGUCAUUGUGUUGAUCCUCAUCCACACUCCACUCUAAGGCAUUCCCCUUGGACUGAUCCCACACCAAGGUGUAGGGGUCACCCCCUGGGAAACACCCCAACAAAGGCGUGAGCUAACUCCUACGGAAAUCUCUCCAUCAGAUCCCUUGGAACUGCAAACGUAGCCUUGCUGGCUCCCUCAAAAGGAGUACUGCCUCUGGAGUCAAACACCCAGCCGCCCCAAGUGGGGUCACUACCACUACUAGGAAUCACUGCCUCGACACCAACUAGGGUUCCAUCACCUAACUGCUCUAUGCUCUAGUAGUAGCGAGGCUCCCUUCCAUCAGGAUACCCCAUCACACUGAGUUCCCUCCAAAGCAAAGUGGGCAUGCCAAACUCCACCAAGAAUUUGCUGUUGUGACAUGAAUCCCUAAGAACCAGCUGAUGGCGAGGAACCCACCCUUUGGUGGACUUGCAAGCGGUACGCCUGGUGUGAGCCAUCUGCUGAAAUAGGAUACCUUCGAGGAGAACUGAGGAUUAUCUUUAUCAUUUUUAUCAAAAUGGGAUAGAGUAACAUAAGGGGAGAGACCAAGCAGUGAUACGAAAUGAACAUGAUGUAUGCAUGAAUCUUAUGAUCUCAUAAACUUAGGAACAAAAGUUAGAACUAGCGGUGUGUUGAAGGUCCUUAAGUACCAAAUAUAAUCAUCAAAUAAAUAAAGAAAAGGAUCCAAAUGCAACCAACACCCAAACUUAGGGAUUUAUCUGACAGAAUUCCAUGAGUUUUGGUGUUUGUCUAUUUCUGCAGGGGGUUAUCAGGAAAUACGGAAGAAAGGCCCACACAUCGGGUUUACAUAGAGAUAUUAACAUCAAUUUUCUAUCAUCUAGAAGACUCUAGAAGCCACGGGAACGAACGGGAAGGUGAUCGGGCCCAGGGGCAGGGCACCCUCCCUCGCCUCUAGGGCGCCCGCCCAGCUAUAGAGUCCAAACAGGACCCGUCUCGCGGAUUACGUUCCACCAACCUAAAGGAUAAAGGAUAAUCGUUCAAUUAAUGUCGGUUUGAUCCGAUGGCCCAGAUUCACUUGAGGGGACUAUAUAAGCAGACCCCCUGGCCCCUGAAGGAGAACAAGUUCAUUGUAGAGUUGAGAGGUGCCCUCGAAGGAUAACCUUUCCUCUACAUAGACAGAGCAGAAGCUAGGGUUUGGAGAUGAGAGCUCUCCUCUCAUCUCUAAACUAGAGUAGAUCUAGAUAGUAGCAAGAUGGAGAGCGAGGGAGGAUUGGAGGAGAGGCCGGCCUGUCGGUUCUUCCUCCGGUUGUACUUCGCCAUGAUCAAGCUCUAAUCAAGCUUGCUCAUGGGAUGACUCUGGUAAUCUACAUCUAUUUCAUUAUGCAAUUACUAUUCAUGUAUGUUCUGGUUCACAACUCUUUUGAGUACUUUAAUCUAUAGGACGCUAUAGGUGAGAGUUGCAGUAUAGGUGUAAUCGUGGUGCUUAGACCUAGAUUACUUGUGGAUAUCCCCUGUCUAGCUAGAUCGUGUGGUAGGCCGCGUAGGUGACAGUUACGUUGGUCCCCUAUAGUCCACCUCUUGUUAGCAGGACGGGUAGGGUUUAUCGGCCUAUGGAUAAGCAUCCUUUGUGGUGUAUUCUUAUCACGUGGUUCGUCCCAGACAUAGACAUACCCCUUUGAAGUAGAGAAAUCAUAGUUAUCCUCUCUAUUCUCCUACCAUCGCCCAUAUAUUAGAUUGCUCUACUCUAUAUUCCCCCAUUAUCAUUUUACCUUUGAUAUUGUUCUUAUUUCAAUUCUACCAUCUUUCCUAUUUACACUUAUCCAUCUAUCUAGGUUAAGUUAGAGCAUAGAUCAGUUCUCCCGUUUCCCUGUGGAUACGAUAAAACCUUUAACCGGGUAAAAGCUACAACGGUAUCCCUACGCUUGCGGAUUUAUCUGUGUGCGUAUAAAUAUCAUAGUACACUCUAGUGCCAUUCUGGGGAUGACAACCUAGUAUUCAAGUGGUGUUAGCAAGUGUCAACAAGAAUUUUUGGCGCCACUGACGGGGAGACGGUUGCUGAGUUGACUACGAACUAGCUUAAUCAUUUUCUAAAAAAUAAUAAAAAAUAUACUUUUCCUUUUAUCCUUUGUCUUAUCUCUGCUAUUCUUUCUUCUUAUCUAGUCCUUGAUUUCUGGUCUAUCAUGAAUACAAACAUGUCUGUCUAUCAAUUUCAUAGACCUACGGGCACACAUCUCGAACCACCAAAAUCUUCAAAUCCUAUCAUAGCAUCUAGUUUUGAGAUAGACCCCAAAUACAUAGAAUUUGUUCAAAAACAACCUUUCUCAGGAGAAGGUAAGGAAAACUCAUACACACACCUAAGAGAGUUUUAUCGAGUCUGUGACCUCCUUCGCAUUGAAGGCAUGUCCGAUGAGACCCUUAAAUGGAAGGUCUUUCCAUUCUCUUUAACAGGAAAAGCUAGACAUUGGUACAAACUAAAAGUAGGGAGUGUUCAUAGAGAUUGGAAGGAGUUAUAUAAUAGUUUUCUUUUUAAAUAUUUUCCAAUCUCCAAGUGGUGGAACUUUGGCCUAAGAUUCUUUCUUUUAGACAACUGGAAGAAGAAUCUCUCGGCAAAUCAUGGGACCGCUAUAUUAACCUUACUCUCACUGGCCCAAAGCUUUCUAUUCCACAAGAAGUUCUUCUAAUUCACUUUUUUGAGGGCCUUAGUAGGGAAAAUAAGCAAACCUUGAAUACAGCCUCUAGAGGAUCCUUCUAUCACCUACCUGCUAGUGAAGCUAGGGAUUUAAUUGAUUCAUUGAGUGGAAAGUUUCCUAGCAUUUAUAUCCCUGAGAAAGAGAAAGAACCAGUUCCUAGACAAGAAGAGGAAGUUUCGAUAGCCAAAUUACAACCACUUCAAUCCCAAACUUUAGCUAUCGAUCCUAAACCAUCAAUACCUCAAAAUUCUCCAAGGGAGGAAGGAAUUUCGACCUUAAAUCUUUCAGAUACUGAUGGUUUAGACUCCUGGUUCCAUAAGAGACUUUCAAGUAGGGAUAAUUAAAAUUCUUGCAAUAAUGGUUCUCUUAAAGAAUGUCCUGGUUUCUAUUAUGAAGAAGUCGUGGAUGACAUAUCAAGUGAAGGAGAGGUAAACCAUAUAGAAAAUUCUAUCUGCUCCCCUUCCAUGUUCACAAAUUCUAAAUCCAUCCUUGACCUUAGAGACCCCUCUUAUCCCUCUCCUUUUCAGUCUCAUGAUGAUCCUAGCAAUCCAUCAAGACGACCAAACCAUAGGAGUCAUGAAGACCAUAAGGAUUGCAUGACAAGUAAUGCCAUAGAAGGAGAGCUAAGCCAUAUAGAAGAUUCUAACACCUCCCCUUUCCUCAUCGCAAGUUCUAAAUGGCUAGAAUAUGUAGAAUGGAUGGACAAGGAAGAAGCCUUAAUGGAUUCUGACUUUGGCUCAAUUUCAAAUGGUGAGUUCUUGACUCCAUUUGAAGAUGAGAUUCAUCCAACUGCAGAAGAGGACAUAGGUGAGACCAAUCCAGGAGAAACUAUGAACAUUCAUAUUGGAGACGAAGAUAACAUUAAUGAGCAUGGAAUUUAUUUCAUAGCCACUUCGUUUACUCCAAGCUCACAUGAAACAUCUUCCGAAUCUAUUGGUGUCUCCAACAUCAUCACAUUUGAGAUCUCCAACCCCCUCUUCCUUUCUAUUUAUAAAAACUUUAAAAGGGCGGUUGUCGAUGCAUAUGUCUAUAAUAAAUAUUGCAAAUCUCAUUGAGUUGAUCUUGAUAUAGGUCAGCGUUGGAAGGGAAACCACUUUGCCGACAUAAAUUGAUAGUUUCCCAAAGACAAGCUUAGUGUCCUAAAAUAAGCACUGAUCGGAUCGUAACAUGAGCUUUUAAUUAUUUGCAACAUUACCUUGUGUAUUGAGCUUACAAGGAUAAUUGUAAAAAUAUUCCUUCGGGUAUUCUUGUCACUAACUUUUCCAGGAUUGGAGCAAGAAGAUCGGAUGAAUGACAAGCACAAGGUAUGUCCAACCAAUCAUCAUAAAACAUUGAAUUAAAUUCAUCCAAACUUGAAUUUUGCAAAAUUCAAGCUUGGGGGGAGUACUUUACAUAAAAACAUCCUUUGCCAUGUUGCUAUGUUGGUUGUCCCUACCUUUGAGACAUGCUCAAUUUGUUAAAUACUAAUCACACUACUUCAUCUCAACUUGAGUAGAUCUCUAUAUAUGCUCUCAUGCUACCUUUAUUUGCUUCAAUAUAUGUCUAGGUUUGGAGUAGUUUCAUUUAUCUCUAAAAUAAGCAUGGUGCUUAGUUUAGGAAUGAUGAUCUUACUUCCAAGGGAUUUUAAAUUAAGCAUGGUGCUUAGGUUAAAAUGCCCUCCUAAAUCAAUUUAGACAUGGUGUCUAGGUUGAUUUUUGAACCGAUAGUAUGCUAUAGUAGAUAUUGGAUAUUUUGUUGAACUAACCCCUGUAGGAAAACUUUCAAUAUCGACCUGGGAAGUCCUGAGAUAAACUCACAUUGGAGACAAAGAGAGAGACACAUCAAGUUUAACAAUUUACACAAGGAAGACGUAGCUCAUAAGAGAUGAUCCAUGGAGGGUGCCACAAACACGAUGCACAACCGCUAAGAAAGGAAAGCUUCCACAAGGUGAUACUGUACCAUCACUCUUCAAGUAAGGACCUGGAUCUGCGAGCACAAACACACUGAGCAAGAAACUGUCAACGCCGCACUUCGAACUGCUGGGCAAACGAAGAACAUGGGUGACACCGUAUCAAGAGGUGUAGAUGUCAAGGUCCACACCUGAAUCAAAUGACGUACCUAAAGAAUGAACAUGAUGAGAAGUCUUGUUCAGAAGACUUAAAACAUUGAACCCUCGCCGAAAGGUAAAAUCUGUAGUUAUCCAUAUUUAUCUUUUCUGCAUUCCUUUUCCUUUUUAUUCCAUCACUUGCAUUAGCAUAUCUACUUUUCCACAUUAGCAUUAGAAAAGAAAACAAAAAUAUUUGUUCGUUGCACUACAUCAUAAAAUCUAAAGCCCCAUGUGAGUAGACUUGUGGUUUAAAACCCAUAGGUAUAUUGACUGUGGUGGCAUAAAAUAAAUAUGUUUUCAUCUUACAAUAAAAAUAUAAAAAUAAUAAGUGCAUGAUCCUGCUAAAUAAAUAAAAUUUAUUAGGAGGAAUCUCAAUAUGAUAAAGGCUAAGAGAUUUUAUGCUAACACUUAACUAGUUCCACAAAGCUUUGUUGUCUAUUUGAGCUCCACUGAAUUCAAGGGUCAAAGAAGACUAGGAGACGGAGGACAUCCUAAUCGCUGUAAGGGUGCUGCCGACAUUCAAAUACACCUCCGCCACCUGCUAGCUACAUCAAAAGAAAUUACGUCAAAAUCCAGCUUGGGGGAGAGCACCCCCAUUUAUCUAGCUAAGUGUUUCUACUCGAGUUUAUACUUUACUCAAAUAAUAAAAAAAAUGCAUAAUCAUAAAAACCCAAAUAAAGAUUUUAAGCUUAUAUAUAUAUAUAUGCUUAGUUUGCUAAAUAAAUAAAUAAAUAAAGUUUGCUAUGAACCCUCUUGAUAAGCCCUCACAUGGAAAUGAUGAGUAGUUGCUCUGCCAUGACUAGAUCUCAAAAUUGAAUUCUCUCUCAAGUUUAGGCAUGACUGUUAUGAAUUAAGAUUUGCUCUAAACCUGAACUUGUGGGAAGAGUACUUGAUCUGAAGUCUAAGUCGUUAACGGAUAUGAUAUGGGAAGGCUGAGCUGCUGUUUAUCUGUUCCUAGAGAUGCUAUAAUUCUGGAGAAUUUUAUCUUUGAAAAUCUUUAAAAUGUUGCAUGAUGAGUUCCUGUAUGAUGAGAGUUUAAAAUCCUUCCACAGCCAUAUAAACAUGCUUAUUAGACUAUGAACCAUACAUUUACUUUUUACUGCUUAUGAGCAUUGAGUGUGGUCAAGCUGUGUAGACCCUUAGGAGCUUGUCAUGCGGUUAAAAUCAAGAUUCACUUGCACGUUCACUCAUACAUGCUGCUUCUACUCCGAAAGUAUGCAUCCACAUACAUCCACUCAUCUCCAUCUCCAGAUUCACCUAAAAUUAUUCUACUCCUAUCCGGGAGAGAAUAGCCAAAAAUAUUAUCCUAUCCCUGUUAUUCCCCAUGAAAUAAAUGCUCGAGGUAUUUUGGUUACUACCACUUGCUACAUUAUUCCAGGAGGGUGAGUGCUCUAAAAAAAGUGAAUACGAGGAAAUAAAAAGGGGCAAUUGCCCGAAACCUCGAAGAAAAGAAAAAGUGAGAUGAGAGGUAAAAAAUGGACAAGUGUCCGACAGUAGAAUUAGGGGUACAAGAUACCCACCUGAGAGAAAAGAAAAAAUAAUAUAGAGCAUCUCAUUCUUCUCAAAAAUCUUCAAAGUGCAAGAAAGGUAUGUAUCCCCUCAAAAGAGCAAAAGUAGAAUUAGACUUUCACCAUUGUUAUCACCAUACACCAUUCAUUUGCCACACAUGUACAUCUUGAUUUGACUUAUUGACUUGUUUCUAUGGAUCUAUGGUUUGACUAUGCAAUAAAUGUCUUGUAAGUAUGUAUUAGCUGUCUCCCACCUAUGAGCUCCAGAUAUCAAUACCUUAUUAGAGUAGGGUUAGAGAGAAGGCAAUAUCGCUAUGCCUCAUACCAAAAACACCACAUACUUUGAGAGAAGGCAUAUACCAUUACUGCCUUGGAAAGGAUCCAGAAAUACCACAAAAGAGAGAUUUGAGAGAGUCAUACAAGGAAUCUCUGAGUUUUAUUUGAAAAUCUAUAAAAACUCCAGAGCUAUAGUUGAUCAAGAAUACAAGACAUGGCGCUUGACUAGACUGUUCUAUCUUUUAACUGCUCAAGAUACAUGUGACGGUUACAAGCCCCAUGGUGGAAGGUAAUAUGAGUAAGUUUAAAUCUUAACAGUUUACUCUAACUCAGAGGUGAUAUCUUAUUUGAACGCAUGUGUACCUUUGAGGCAUGAAACCACUACAGAAACUCUUGAGUCCACCCUUUCUCAGGGACGAGCAAGAGGUAAGAUUGGGGGAGUUGUUGACGGUCCUUAAGUACCAAAUAUAAUCAUCAAAUAAAUAAAGAAAAGGAUCCAAAUGCAACCAACACCCAGACUUAGGGUUUUAUCUGACAGAAUUCCAUGAGUUUUGGUGUCUGUCUAUUUCUGCAGGGGGUUAUCAAGAAAUACGGAAGAAAGGCCCAGACAUCGGGUUUACAUAGAGAUAUUAACGUGCCGCGCAAUUUUCUAUCAUCUAGAAGACUCUAGAAGCCACGGGAACGAACGGGAAGGUGAUCGGGCCCAGGGGCAGGGCACCCUCCCUCCCCUCUAGGGCGCCCGCCCAGCUACAGAGUCCAAACAGGACCCGUCUCGUGGAUUACGUUCCACCGACCUAAAGGAUCAAGGUUAACCGUUCAAUCAAUGUCGGUUUGAUCCGACUGCCCAGAUUCACUUGAGGGGACUAUAUAAGCAGACCCCUGGCCCCUGGAGGAGAGCAAGUUCAUUGUAGAGUUGAGAGGUGCCCUCGAAGGAUAACCUUUCCUCUACAUAGACAGAGCAAAAGCUUGGGUUUGGAGAUGAGAGCUCUCCUCUCAUCUCUAAACUAGGGUAGAUCUAGAUAGUAGCGAGACGGAGAGCGAGGGAGGAUUGGAGGAGAGGCUGGCCUGUCGGUUCUUCCUCCAGUUGUACUUCGCCAUGAUCAAGCUCUAAUCAAGCUUGCUCAUGGGAUGACUCUGGUAAUCUACUUCUAUUUCAUUAUGCAAUUACUAUUCAUGUAUGUUCUGGUUCACAACUCUUUUGAGUACUUUAAUUUAUAGGACGCUAUAGGUGAGAGUUGUAGUAUAGCUGUAAGCGUGGUGCUUAGACCUAGAUUACUUGUGGAUAUCCCGUGUCUAGCUGGAUCGUGUGGUAGGCCGCGUAGGUGACAAUUACGUUGGUCCCCUGUAGUCCACCUCUUGUUAGCAGGACGGGUAGGGUUUAUCGGCCUAAGGAUAAGCAUCCUUUGUGGUGUAUUCUUAUCACGUGGUUCGUCCUAGACAUAGACAUACCCCUUUGAAGUAGAGAAACCAUAGUUAUCCUCUCUAUUCUCCUACCAUCGCCCAUAUAUUAGAUUGCUCUACUCUAUAUUCCCCCAUUAUCAUUUUACCUUUAAUAUUGCUCUUAUUUCAAUUCUACCAUCUUUCCUAUUUACACUUACCCAUCUAUCUAUGUUAAGUUAGAGCGUAGAUCAGUUCUCCCGUUUCCCUGUGGAUACGAUAAAACCUUUAACCGGGUAAAAGCUACAACGGUAUCCGUGCGCUUGCAGAUUUAUCUGUGUGCGUAUAAAUACCAUAGUACACUCUAGUGUCAUGCUGGGGAUGACAACCUACUAUUCAAGUGGUGUUAGCAAGUGUCAACACGGUGUAUACGGUAUCAUACAACGUUCUCUCAUAUAUACGAAACUAGACGUUCUACUCGAGGACGUGGUUAGUGUACCUGCAGAAACUCAUUUCAGCCCAACCUUAGUAUGAAACAUGCAAAAUAGUAAUUAAAGCUAUUCCCUCCACACACACAUACUCGUACUUGCAAGUGUCAUGCUACUACCCACAUCAUCGCCCUAAUGACGACAUCGCCUCUCAGGACGGAAUCACCCACCAAAUGGUACUUUCCCUAAACACACAAAAUAUGUACGUAGGACGUAGCAACCUAAAGCACUUCCCUAGACUGGCAGUGUAUCUAAUCAUGCUCUCACAGCUCACACUUACUGAGGCGUAGAGGAAAAAUGAUCCAUACAUUACCAUUCAAGUGAAUGGCACUCAUACUAUUGCAUGUUGUAUGAGCGACAAAAUAGAAAUAUGAUGCAUAAACCCCAAGAUAGUACUUAAAUAGCCACCUUAGAGUCCUUAAUUGGGCAUAAAGGAUAUGACCACUGACACACUUAUAAUUUUUCAAACUUCAUUUUAACACCUUGGUCAUUAAUAGUAAGCAAUUAGUUUUGUUAAACCAUUUUAAUUUAUUUUAAAACAAGCUUAUAUUAAUCUGCUAAACCUUGCUCUGAUUCCCACUGUAAUAGAACCAUCCAAGUUAUAAAAAAUUAAGCCUAAUAGUGACCAUUUGCAAAGUCGAACUAUCGAGCUUAUGCCCAUAUAAUCCUGGUAGUCCAUGAAAUCUCAAGGAAUUUCAAACCUUUCUGCACACACAACCAAGAUUGUAAUGAGUUUAUUAGUCACCAUCCAUAAGUAACAUAGAGUUCACAUCAUUCUAGAAGUUACAUUAGAGUUUAAACAUAGUUAUUACAGACUAGAUUCAAAUGUAGCUUAAGCAUUUCGGUUUUUAGAAAAUCACACACAAACUUAGUUCAUUACAGUGCUAGGGUCCGAUCAUUCCCACAAAAGCAAAAGAUGAGAUAGAGUGAACACGCCCUUGGUCUAGUCAUCACCCAUCGCUGUGUACAAGCAAUUGAUGAAAUGCCCAUAAUAUAUCUGCCCAUAUGCAAAACAACAUGGGAAUGGAACCUUGAGUACGAGAAUGUACUUAGCUAGACUUACUCGUCAUAAACCAAAAAUAAAUGACAUCCAAAGAUCAUGAAAGGCUGUUGUAACACCCCAGUGUUAUGGUUGCAUUGAUCAUGUGCAUAGCAUAAGCAUCAUCAUCUACUAAAAGCAUAUCAUGAUCAUCAUCUAUCUUGAGCCAUGUCAUUCUAUGCAUAAUUGUGUUUUAAAUUGCUUAAAUAGGCUUCCUGUGCUUAUGUUUGAGUGAACCAUGCUUGUGUUUGUGCUUAAUGCCUUGGUAAUUAGUUUAUCUAUGCUUAACUUGACUUUGGGAACAAUGUUCAUGUUGAUCACUUCUCCAAAAUAUGCCUUUAAGUCAUACUUGUGUAACUAGGCCCUAAAAACCUCUUUUGUUUAGGCUUUUAAAAAGUGUUUUAUAAAUUGUUUGCAUGUCAAAACUUUCUACAGCAAAGUUGUAGAAAAUUUUAUAAGGAACAAAAGUUGUUUUAUGGCCAUCUCAUGAAAAUGAUCACAAAUAGCUCAAAAGUGACCCACAAGGCAGAUUUGGGGCUGUUUCCAACACUUGGAAAAUUUUCUAAGUCCUGGAACAAAACCAGUUUGCUCGAUCGAUUUUUAAAACUCUGUAUCUUUCAAUCCAGGCCGAUUUGGCUUUUGCUCCAAUUGACAAAGUUGUAGAACUCGGUUGGAACUCCAACUUCGUCAACUGUACCGUCCUCUAAUUCGCUCUGGUUUGGGAGUAAAUCGUUGCCAAAUUUGCUCUGUCGGACCGACAUCGUUUCUUCUGAAUCAAAGUGGAGCUCGCCGACGUGGCCGACCGGCGGCAGCACAACGGCGACAUUUGUCGUCCUUACGCCGUUCCUGGCCCUGCUUGUCAGCUCUCGUCGCGUGCAUGAAGUCCACGGCGUCGCCCCGCGCAGAGUGGACGCGUCCACUUCUCUCUACCUCGCCUCUCUCGCCAGAAACGCGGCCGCCGGGAGCUCUCCUUCGCGAGCUUACUCCGGCGAGCUCGCGCGCGUUCCCUGCUGCCCCAUUGCCCACCAAACUUCACCCAAAGCUCCGCCGUGAACCGCUCUCCAAUCUCCACCCUCUAACUCGCCGAGAAACCCACCGGUGAGCCGACAUUUCCUUCUUCCCCCAAAUCGGGUCGCCGUGACCAUCUUCUCCGGCGAACUCAAUGCCGAGCCCUGUGAAGCCUCUUGUCGUCUCUGGUUAGGUCCUAGAGGUAGCUUAGGUCCUUAGCGAGCUUUUACGCCACUUGGUGGACGCUCUACCAAGCUCUCCGUCGCCGGACACGGUGCGCAGCGCCGCCGUGCUUCCGCCGGAGAUGGGUGCUCUCGUGGCCAGCGUGUUCUACGAGGAUCCAAGCCAAGCUGUGUACCUAGGAAGCUUCGCCGUAGUCCGCUGGUGCUGUAGAAUGCCUUAGGUCGCGCUCUACCGGCCUGAGGGCUCCGGCGUAACGCCGAGCACCUCCGCCGAGCCGCCAUCGUCGACGGCGAGCCCUUUCCGGUGGCUCCGCCGUGGGGAAAAGGGGGUCAAUCGAUUCGCUAGGGUUUGGAGAUCACGCUGAUGCCCUUGGUUUGGCCGGAGACCUCGCCGUCGCGGAGAAAUCGCCGGCGAUUGUCGCAUCAGCCGUGAGGACGAUGACCCUGACAGGCGGGGUCCACUGUCAGCGUCGCGUCCUUCCCUCCUUUUCUUUUAUUCAAAAUCUAGAUUUUUGGCUUUCUUGCAAAAAUCAUAUCUCCUGUUUCUGAGAUCCAAAAAUUGUGAAACCAACUUUGUGGUAUUUCUUGAGAUGGCUAGUUUUUAAUAAAAAUAUAAAAUGAACCAUGUUUUCUGGGAAAAUAUUUAUUAAGGAUUUAAUCUUGUUAUUCAUGAAUAAAUUCAUAUCUCUGGUUAUACUAUUUAGUUUGCCAUGAAAAUUUUAUGGUAGCCUCUGUCUGAUACUAGAAUGUUAUGAUAAAUAUUUCAUGAUUUUUGGAUUAAUGCAACUUGGAUAUGUAAUUUAUGAUUGAAAUGUGGCUUGUUUCCUUGAUUAAAUUAUAUAAAAUAAUUGGUACUUAUGCUGGUGCUCUACUUUGGUAGUAAACCUGUUUAUGGCACUCCUCAUGUGUAAAUAAUCUGAAAUCUGUUGUUUGGCAAAAUACAAGUCAUGUUUUCUAAUUUAUCAAAUAAGCACCUAGCUACAUGGUAAAUGUAUAUCUUUAAUUUGGUAUGUGCAAUUGCUCUGAAAUUUUUAUGGUGAUACUUUGAUGCUAUCCUUGUACUUCUGUAAUUUUUGUAGAUUUUUCUGAGCAUCUUGACUGAUAUCUUGUAAUUAUGCUCUUUUCUAGAAUUAAUUAAUAAAUGCCUUGUUAAGUAUAUGUUUGAGGGUUAUCAUCUAAUGUUCUGGUAACCUUGUGAUAUGCUUGUGCUCAUAAGCCAUGUGGUUGGCAUGGGUUGUGUUUUGGUUAUGUCAUCAAAUAAUUAAUUAUAGGGUUAAAGGCUGUUCUGGACAGCAAGGGAGCAAUUUAACUUUUGUUUAAUGAUAAUUUAGUUUUCUGAGAAUCUUAUCUAAAUCAAAGUUGUUGUAAACUUAUUGAACUAGCUGUGGUUUAAAUUUGGGAUGAUUUGGUCUAGUAGUUUAAAAGUUAUGGCUGUUCCAAGUUGGGUUCCAGAAAUAGGUGCUCUCUGUUUUUCUGGGGCAGAACCUGGAAUUUUGUUUAAUUUACUGGAUUAAGCUAUGAAUCUUGCUGUGAUGUUUGAAGAUGAUUUGUAGACAAUUUCAUAAGCUUUCCAGAAUGUCCUCACUUAAGUGUGUUGGACCUUUGUAGCAGUAGUUAUGGUUUGUUUACUGAGCUGAUCUGUUUAUGUGCUUGCUGUUAUAAAUUAACUUGUUUAGUUUAUUUAUUCAUGUGGUUUUCUUGUAAGUUAACUUAGAAGUUUACUCUGUAAAUGAGUAUCCAGUGAGUUACUUAUGUUAUUAAGCAUACAUCUUUAGCAUGUGCAUCUUCUUAUUGUUCGAGCAUGCAAUAGGUGCAUCGGACGCGACAGCCUCCUACGAGCUGCAAGUGAAUCCCGAAGGUCAGGGGGCAGCCAAGAGGUGGAGGUCCAGCAAGCCGGACUCGAAGAGCCUGAAGAAGAAGUUGAGUGCCCGAAUCACGAGCCGGCGUCGUUCGUGAAAGACAAACCCCGGAGCAUUCUAAGUCUCCCUUUAUUUUCGAAAGUUUAGUUAAUAUGUUAUAUCUAUUGAUGCAUUACGUAUAGGAGUUGUGAUGAAACUUUUGCUGCAUUCUACUCUAUCCUUGUCCAGAUAACUCACCACACCCUGGUUGUAGAGUUAGCAUCGAGUAGCAGCUUAGCCAUGCUUUAAUCGGUAGAAGUCGGGUGAUAUCCUGUCACCUGCGUGAUAUAGGGUUAUGUAGGAUCGCGAUGGUCUAUAUGUGCUAUCGUGGAUGGAACCUGAUUAAAUUGACUUAAGCCGGGCGGAGUUUUGCAAGUUUGUAUUAACUCCGUCUGUGGCAGCUAAGGACAGAUCGUUGUACGUCCUCUUAUCAUGUUGAACGCAUGCCUGACACUUAGUUGGCCGGAUAACUCGUUCCGACCGCGAAGCCGAGUAGUAUGACUCAGGCCGGAAGACCGGCAAGUAUAAAGUGCGCACUACCGGAGGAAGUGCGGUGUGCGGGGGACCAUUGGCGUAAGCCCAAAGGCAGGUGAGUUAAAAAUCCUGACCUCCCUGGCAGAGUGGUAGCCCUGGGAGUGCGGCGCUGAUCGGAGCCGCGAUUCCUGAGUCGUACCAAAGGUGACCCGUUGGCUCUCCGGCAGGGGAUGCUUGUCUGAGUGCUAGGAAUAACCCUCCAGCUGGAUAGGAAUUCGAUUCGAAUCGCCGUCUCUCCCUGUCAGUGAGAACUUGACAGAGCAGCGGCAAACGUAGCAUCCACUAAUGAACUUGGUUCAAGAUAAUGAUGAUAGCAAGAAGAACAUAUGAUGAACUUGGUAUGGUUAUUAUUUUGUGUAAUAAUCAAGUGAUGUGUUGUAGUACAGGUGCUAAUCUAGUGGUAGGCUGAUGAUAAAUAAAUAUGAUGCUCUCAAAUUAAUUUAGUUGUAAGUUAAGCUUUUGGCAAAAGGUGAGUCAACCAGCUCCACUUCAUAUUUAGCCUUGCAUGAUCCUUGUUGUCUUUUAUGUUUUACUAGACGGGUAAGUCUAGCUGAGUACAUUCUCGUACUCAGGGUUUAUUCCCCACCUGUUGCAGAUGACAUCUUCUAUGACGGUUUCUGCAAGACCUGUCUCCAUCCCGCUGGGGAUGAGGACUAACCGUUGGGUACGGUUCCCUAACAACUUCGUACCUGUUGCUUUUGGAAGGAUGGUGUAGACUCUGGCAGUAACUCAAACUUAUGAACUGAACUUUGGAAUGUGUGUGUAACUAUUUUGCUUCCGCUACUUUGGACAAGUGUUGUAAUAACUUAAUACUCCGAUGUGGUGUCGCUUCGACGGCAAUGAAUGACUAUGUAACAUUCGCUGUGUUUAUGUUGAACUAUUACGAUCUUAGUUUGUUGCGAGUUGGUUUGAAGUCCUUCGUGAUUUCAAUUGACUACCGGGAUUAUAUAGGCUCAAGUUUAGAAACUUGAUUGCUGGUCGAUCGUUUCUGCACUUGAACUCUUAUAAUUUGGUCGGUUCUGUGACAGCUGUAUACUGGGGUAGCUUGAGAAACUUUGCGCAAAAGCUUAAGCCAAAAAGUGUGUAACCCUUCCGUUUAUUUGGCACAAGUUAAGUAACAUUACCUGUCAUCUACAUUAGCACCUAUGCUAUAACAAUCAGUUGAUUCAAUAUAAUAGUACCAAAUUCACAUAACAUUCUCACUUCAUCAUAUACCAUAACUACAAUGUUUUAUAGUCCUUACUACAAGAACGAAGCUCAUGUCAAGUGUUCACUAUCCAGAAGCGAUGGCGAUUCGAAAUAAUUUCUAACUAGCUGGCGAGUUAUUCCCUACAGAAACCACACUCACUGAUCAAGUGAGCUACAGGUCACCAUAUUGCACUAUCUAGGACCAGUUCGGGGGUUCGACAGGCAACACCCGUACCCGAGGACCGUUCGGGCGACCGAGAUAUCCAAGGUAUACCAAUUUUGCGCGUCGCGCCCUCAUCAUUCGCCUCAACCAUCAGCAAUACAGUGCAUGCAUCGGGCCGAUUCUCAACUCGAAUAGAGUUCAUGCUUCACGGUAAGAACGACUUAUCCUUCCAGUUAAGUGUGGGGCAUGCAUUCAACAUGACAAGAUGGCCAUCAACGAUCGGUCCUUAAUCGACACAGGUAGAACCACAAUGGUCUAACACCCCCAUAAGACUCAGCCUGGUCACAACUUACUUUCCCACACUUGGUUACUUCCCACGAUAGCAUAAAAUAGCUAAACCUUUUGGUAUCCACCUAUAUCUCACAGGUGAUAGGGAAUCAUCCGACUUUUAUUGUGCUAAGCAAGCUAAGCAUAGACUCUGAGCCUACACUACGUAGGACAAGGUAAGUAGACAAGUGGUAAUCCAAGGUAUAACAAUGCACCAACGGUGUCAAGCAACUCAACUUAAUGCAACAGGAACACCAACAUGAUAUAUUAAUAUAAGUUAGCAAAAAUUAGGGAGACUUAGAAUGCUCCGUGGCUUGUCUUUCUCAAGAGUGCUAGGCCGGUGAUCGAGGCACUCUUGAAGCUGUUGUUCCGGUUCGUGUCCUUCUGGAAGCUCCUGCACCAGGGUUUCCUCGGGUUCCUCGGUCACUACCUCGUUCUCCUGCGAGCCUAUAUGAUGCGUAUGCAUAAGUGAGCGGAGAUGCAGGAUGCUCAUAGUGUGGGAUCAUGUAGAUGAUUGCUAGAUGACCAUGAUAUGAUAUUUACGGAGUAAGUGCAUACUUCUUCUCCGGUAAAGAAGAGCUAUGAUACUACUAAAAGCGAUACAAAUUCUACCAACUAGUCAACAUCAUCCAUGAACAUGUAGCCUAUGUACAACAUCUAUUGCAUUCUCUUCUACAAGCUACUUUCAAACCAGCAAGCCAACAUAAUGCUUCAAAGAUACGCCAACAUAAUUGAUACUUCCAUGCAUAUCAAUUAUUUAAUUAUUUAUUAACUACUAGACCUAUAACAGUAACAUACACCUUUGUACUUCAAUAAAUUCUACAAAAAUUAUAGUAGGUUACAGAGGACAUGUUAAACCUACCAUAAAAGUUUCAUGCCAUUUGGGCAAGCAUCAUGACCCACACAAAAUUCACAAUUAUAUUACUCCCUAUGGUGGAAAAUACCCUACUCAUGCAAAAGUGUCAAACAACAGAUUUCAUAUUUUUCUAAAUUACUUCCUAACAUAAGAAAGGUCCACAAAAAUUUCUAGAUUAAUUGCAUGUACAUAUUAUUUAUUAAAAAUCAUAAACCAUUGACAUGCAAGCAUUUAAUUCACCGUAAAUGAUUUUACAUAGCAAAUAUUCAUUCUCAUAUUUUUCCCAGAAGCGGUACAGUCAUACAAAGCUAGCAAAACAAGAAUCACAAUUUUCUGACUUAAAUUCUAUUUUCUAUGCAUUUUCCAAGAAAUCAGCAAAUACAUGUAUUAAAUAAAUCUACACAGGAAAUAUGUUACAACAUGACAUGCAAUUACAUCAAACUGUACAUCUGUAUUUUUAGAGCACAACAAAAAUUAUUUCACCAUUUUUCGAGCCCUAUAACUUAAGAUAUGAAUUUUCUAUGGUUUAAAUCAUUUUUGAAAAAAGUAUUUAUAAAACAAAACCGAAGAAAAAUGCUACGCGCACCACAGAUCUACCCCCAAGUGACACUGGCAGGCGGGACCCGUGAGUCAGCUGCCCCCUCGUCAGUGCCUCUGUGCUUUCGCGGCCAAUGGCCAGCUAGAUCUCGCCGUCGGCGAGAUCUCCGGUGGCAGGGUCGCUGCAUAUUGCUUCGUCUCUAGGAGACGAACUUGGUGCGCCCCUCAACUAGGUCCGAGGAGGUCCGUAGCGGUGCGAAUGGCACACGGCGGCGCUCAGCGGCGGUGCUCACCGGCGUCAAGCUAUCUCCAGUCAAGAAGAGCGAGGGAUAAGGCGCGCAUGAGCUUCGCUAGGUCACGGUGGACCAAAUGCACGUGAAAAAUAGAGGAAGAGAGCAAGAAAAGGGCGUCGUUUGCGCGAGCCAAAAGCUUGUCGGAGUUUGAGCUCGCUCCGGUGAGCUCUGGUGGCCAGGGUGUGGCAUACCGGGGUGGUUGAGUGCGAGCACCGGUCGGAGACGAGGGAGAGGAAGCGAAUGGUGCCCUUGGCUACGAGCUUUGGUGGAUGGUGUGGCCGGUAGCGAGCUCGAGAGCUCGGCAGCAAUGGCGAGGCGACGGUGCUGCCGUCGCGGAGCGGGGGCGAGAGAGAUGACGAGAGCAAGCGAGGACAGGCGCAAAUGAGAGAGGAGAGCGAGGCGGGCACGUUGCCGGUCCUUGUGGCUGACUAGGUAUUGGCAAAGCACCGCAUGGCUGCCACGCGGCGGCCACGGCCUACCGGCGUCAAGCCACGGCGAUGGCAGCCGCUGCUGCCCGCGCGCGAUCGAGGGGAGGGAGGAGGGGAUCGAGGCCCGGCCGGCUUCGGCUAGUAGGCCAGAAGCGAGGCGGCUACACGCUAGGCGUCCCUGCCCUUUUUUCUCUUUUUUUAAUUUCUUUCUCAAUUGUUUUUCAAACACUUUUUUGAGCAUUUUAAAAUUAUUUUCAGAAGUUGCCCCAAAAGUAAAAGUUGCUCCAAAUAAAAUUCUCUACAACUUUGCUUUAAGGUGUAACUCAAAGAUCCAAAUAGAUUUUGAACUACAAACUAAAACUAGUUCUAGGUUUGAAUAAAUUAAUUUUGGGGAUAUUUGGAAUAAAUUCAAAUUCUUCAACUCUAGAGCUCCAAAAGUUUUACCAAAAAUUUCUUAAUUCAAGUUAGGCAUAAAGCAAUCAAGUUUGGGCAUCACAAGCAAUUUAAAAUAUAACAUUACAAUGUAGCAUAAUUAAAUCUCUAUUUAAAUUAUUGCACAUAAAAGCAUAUCAAAUUUAAAAUGCACAUGGAAUGACAUGCUCAUGCUUACGAAGAUGCUCAUGUAAGAUUUAUGAAGCCCUAAUGCAUGCUUAACACCUAAGGUGUUACAAUAUCCUCGCUGCGUUCUUCAGUCCGGAGCGGCUCGAGCGUCCAAUGCCCUUUCUAGUGUGUGAUUCGGACCACAUCUGACAUCAACAACCUCCAAACAAUUCCUUACUCCAAACCAAGCAUCUAGCUCAGUUUGUGUUGGCGUUAAUCGAUGAUGCCACCUGCCAAGUGCCAAGGCUUGACGACUUCAACCAGCGGUGGUGCCACUGCUUUAAAAAGGCUUAUCCACGAGUAGUGCAGCAUCUUCGAAACAAAAUGCAAUGCAACUUUGCUCAUAUACUUAAUACAUCAUGAGUGAGAGUUCAUUUUGAAUUGCGUUGAUUAAAUUGAGUACUAGUUUAACAACAUUAUCCGUACAUCAAUCCAGGAAUAAUGGAUUGGCUUGAUGAAUCUAUGAGCGGUUGGGCGCUGCUAAGAUUGACGGUGACAUGUGCCGUGUCGCUCUUUUUUCCGUGUAUGCACACAAAAAGACAUAUGGAGGAUUAGCUUGAAACGACUGAGAAACCGACACGCAGAUGAUUUGCUCGCUCCUCUACUUCUGUGUCACACUCACACAGACAAUGGCAUAUUAAAGCCGUUAACAAGUCCCUGCUCAUGCCGACGGUGGUUACAGAGGCUCAGCAGAUUUCAGUUAUGAGGCUACCAGCAGACCAACAGGUACAAAACAAGGAUAUAGAUAGAUCAAUGUUAUGUGGCUACCAGCAGAGCAACGUACAACAACAAAUGUUACUGUCGUCCUUGGCAGGCAUCAUACGCAUACGGUCAUACAGUGAAAGAAACUGGACUGCAUGGGAACGAAGCUGUGCUUCUCACUCAAUCGAAAAAAAGAAGCAUCCAUCAGUAUGCAUACAUAUUUAUAUAUGUACAAGCUCUUGUCGGGGCCACAUACUUGCAACAACCGAAUUAUCGGCCGCCAUGACACUGUAGCAGCUACAGAAAACGGAAAAGAGUGGCACACGCUGGCUGACUGGUAGGUCGUGCGUACAUCCAUCCACCGGCUCUCAAAUCAAUCUCCAUCACCUCGUCAUAUAUAUUAUCUAUAUUUAGAGAAAAAAAUCUCUCUAUCAUGCUUUUCCGUUCUUGUAUACUCUCUUCACUAAAAAAAUUACAAUUCUAAUUAACAUAGUAACAAAUCAAAUUAAAUUGCUUUUGAUCAAGUUCACAUAAAAAGACAUCAACGUUUAUGAUACAAUAUAGGUGUCGUUGGGUUCAUUACAAACAUAUUUUCAUACUAUACAGAUUUUAUAUCAUAAAUAUUUUAAUAUUUUUCUCUAAUUUUAGUUUAUCAAAGUUUAGAUGGUAUGAUUAACUGCAUUCCUUUCAAUACGCCCAUAGCCAGUUGGUAGGCUCUGAUGAAGCCUAACUUUACAUAAUAUACGUGCAACUGAACCAUAAGGUAGUGUUGACAUCUUUCACGGUUACACAGUACCAGAUGUUCUGUAGUCGUUCACUUGUCUUUUCCAGUUAGAAGUGGAAUCUUAGAAAGAUACUCGCAGCUUCCGUAUAUGUGCGUGCAUGUGCACACAUGGUGUCGAGACGUUGGGGGCAAACGUCUCAUUCUUAUUUACUAUACGUGUGCAGCAAAAAAAAAGUAAAAGAAGGUUUGCUCAGACAUAAAGGGUCAAUCGACUAACACACUUUUGGGACUAACCAUGUGUACAUCUUUUAAAUAAUUCCAUUUUUCAAGGGGAGAUUUUGAUCUUGUUUUUUUUAAGGACAUGCUCGUAGGAAGUUAGUUUGUGCCCUCAUAUGCUCCUUUAUUGGUUAUUUUAAGUUUUUGUUGCUUUUGUGCUUGUUCCAGCUAGUAUAUAAAUAUAUAUCUAAGUGGUGGGAGGGUCGGACAGAGAAAAAGAAUAUUUGUGUGUGAGAGGUAAAAAAAGAAAAAUGCCAUGGUACCUAGAUAAAUAGUGCAUAAUUCGUUGGAAGGGUGCAAAAUAAUAGAUAAUUCUAAUAAAUAGUUAUUGAUUCCAUAAUCCCCUAUCUUUUCGACAUGCAUAGAUUUUUUUUUGCUCUCAUACAGUACUAGUGAAAAUUGCUUAAUUUAUUUAUACAAAAAAGGAUAUUUUUAAUAGUUAUCCAUUUCAUAAUUCCCUGAUUUAUUGAUGCGUAUAUUGUAUAUUUUCAGAUGAAAGCUAGAAUGGAAAUAUCACAAUAGAAGUAUAAUAUGUCAAGGUUGAUGUUGUGUUUCACGGAAAGAAGUGUCGAAGUUUGUUGACAAUGCGAAGAAGCAUGCUUUGAGGAGAAUCAGAAUGCCCAUGCAGCCGUGCUCUCACUACAAGAUUGUGACAUGAUUAGAAACUGAAGUCAAUUUUCACUAUGUCAAGUGGGGUUUUUUGUAACACCCUAAAAUUUUGCUCCUUUCAAAAUAGAUAUAAUUGAUUUAGUUUUGUAUUUUUGUGCUCAUAAAAAUAUAGGAAAAAUAAUAUUUUUCAUUAAUUUAAAAUUUAUCAUAAGGUUAGCAACAUUGUUGUGCAUAUAUGCUGCUGCAUUCGAUUUCAUGUAAUGUUUGCUUGUUGCUCCUUUGUGUGUUGUUAGUGAGUGAAGUCUUUAAAAUACGUUUAGUAGAUCGAUCUCCGUUUUUCGGUACGUAUUUAUCUUUUUCUACAAUCAAAUUCCUUGUCUCUCAGAUCAAGAUUUCAUUCAGAGUCUCUCAGAAUCUUUUCUUUCAAACCUAAGUCACUCGUUUCAGUUUCUUGUCCAUCAAGCAAUCUCUACAAACUUUUUGAAAAAUUUUCCGGUCUUUUCUGUGAGCAUAAUCUAAUUUUUAGAUGCUCCAUAUUACCUUAUCAUGCACUCCAAAUACUUUAUUUGGAUUGCUCAUGUUCCAUAUUGUCUCUGAGAAUUUUCACCAAAUUUUUGGAGCUUUCGGAAUAUUUUUUCAUGGCUUAAAUAAUAAUUCUACACUUUUCUAGAAUUAUUUUAUCCAUGGAAUUAAUUAAUUCUGAAAAUAAUAAAAUAUCUCUUGCUCUUCUACGCUUAAAUUUCAGGUGCAAUAAAUUUAAUAAAUUCCAAAGACCAUAUUUUUAUUUAUUAAUGAGCUUUAAUAUUUAUUUAGGCCCAUUAGUAAAGAUGGUAGGUGCAACAUCAAUUAGUACCAUAUUGCUAUUUGAUGUAGAUGUGAAUAGUAUUUCUCCCUAUAUAUAUGUACCAAACCUUUAGGUUGAACAUACCCAAACUGCCAUAUCAGAAGCCCCUAGUUUGGGAAAUCUCUUGCGUAGUAAAUUAUAUUUUUCUCCCGUCCUCGUUGACAUUACCUUGGCACCAUGUAUGGUCGAAAUCGUCAUCGGAGAGAACUCCAGUCUGCUGCUGUGUAUGUGCGAUCAUCAUCUGUGUCCGAGCAAGCAAAGGCAUCUAACAGCAGCAGGUCAGCACGCACGUCUAUCUAGUGCCUGCACUCAUCGUCGAUUUUCUUCUGAUCAUCUACCUCCAGCUAACGGUGAUUUAGCCAUUUAAUUAUUCACAUCUAUAUUCUUUCAUUUGGUAUGCCUAUUAAAUUUUGUACGUAAUCAGUUAGAAUCACCCGUAGGGUGUAGGUGAUGGUUAUAUAUGUAGUGCAUCUAAGGAAGGUUUGGCCAGCAGAACUUCGACCGUACGUACCUGUUGUUUGAUGGUUUUCGCAUUGUAAAAUCUAUUCAAUGUGAUAUACGUGCUGGCAGCGAUGCUUUCUUUUUCUUUUGCAAAGAUAAAAUUUAACUUUAUUAAAUUAUAUGACAUUAUUUAUAAGCAAAAUAAAAUAUGAUUAAAUUUAUUUUAGUCUUCUAAUCUCAAUUAAAAUUUGACCUCCAUUUGGAUAUUUCUCUACAAUAUCUUAUACAUGCUUUAAUAUCGUUAAAAUAAAUAAAGCGCAUAGGCUUUUUCCUUUAUAUAAUAUAAAAGUCCCGACAGUUGUUUGUUCUAAAUUGUAGCUUCGAUUAGCGUGAUCAUCGAGCCUGUGUUUUCAUAGCAGCGUGUAGGAUAUCUUCAAAAUAUUUUUGCUUGUUUUUUUUUAUAUUUGGUGUAUUGUUCUAAUAGUAGCUUUAAUUGCUUCGUAUAUGUGUGGCCUCGAUUGUUUGUGUGAUGGAUGAUCGAGUUUACGGUGAAUAAUCUGUGGUGAUCAAGAGUGCUACAACAAGCAAGAUCAGUACUUGGACAAUUAGCAACAUCAACAAGAGCAAUUGGAUUAUGGCAAGUAUUUGGAUUUUAAUUCUGUGAUCAUGAUCUUGUGACUUCAUUAAUGUUAAGUAAUAAACUAUAAAAAUGACUUCUUAGCUACUUGAUGAUUUAUCUGUACAUGAUCACCCGGGAUAACAGUACAACCAUGAGGGCUAUAAUGGCUCUGGCUUUAGUUAAGUAUGAGUAAUUUUUCUAGCUCGUUAGUGGUUACCCGUGUGGCGCAAUUGGGGAAUAGCAGACCGUGGAUUCCUGCGGGUGGAUCACACGGACUGACUAAUGAAACCAAGUGGCCCUAACUUGUUAGACGAACCUUUGAAAGACUUUAUAGUGAUCCCUGCCGACCUUCGUUGGUAUUGGGCUAAGAGGCUGAUCACGUCGAGCGAAAGGGUAAAUCAUGACUCAUGAGUAAAGAUAUGCAACCUCUGCAGAGUGUUAAAAACUAGUAUACUAGCCGAGCUCAUGGUCAGGAGCAGCCUUGGGGACAUCUACAUUAAGGGUCCUAUGUGUUAAAUAUACUCAUUAUUUAUUGUUUAAUGCUUUACAUUAUUUAUGUCACAUUGAUCGUGAGAUUGUGGCAUCUAUACAAUCUAGUUGCUAUACUUGUGGAGUUCGACAUGGACUCACUCUUGCUAUUUCCCCACACCCCUCAUGAGAAGUUUUGGGCUUGUGAUCAACCAGUCGGUUGGAUCCUGUAGAGUGGAGUUAAUACCCGAAGUUUGGAGUUAUCUAUCCGCUGUUUGCUAUCAAAGGUUAUAUCUUUUAUACUAAGUACGUUAUAUAACUUAUACAUUGUCUUUUGAUAUUACCCUUUAUUUGUAGCUAUAUGUGAGAUUUGACUUCUAAAACUCACAUAUGGUGUGUAUCUGAUUUUGUCCUUAAAAUUGGGUAUUACAGUUUUUCAUCCAGGGCUACACAAUUUGGACCUUUUAUGGUGAGAAAUAGGAUUUCUACAUUUUUUACAUCGUUGCAGAGAAACUAUCAUUCUGCUAUGACAUAUGAUCACGGUGACCCAUGCAAAACCACAGCCGAUCAUGAUGAUUAUAACACGUUGGAUCAUAUUUUUGGAGACACAAACGGUGAUGGCGAUGAUUGAGAUUUCAAUAAUUCUAAGGAUGUGAAGUUCAUUAAAGAGAUGCAGCACCACCUCAAUGACAGUGAUGACCUGUUACAUGGACAUGCCUAGGUGGCUUGAUAAUUUUGCAGAGAUAUAUGAAGAAUGUGGCAAAAGAGCCUCUUUAUAAAGGUUCCCCAACAGAAUUGACGGUGCUGCAUUUUUAGUUUCUAGAUGUUGAUGUCGAAGACACGAUUCAGAUGGGUCAGAUGCUACUUUCAAUAAUCUAUUAUGACUCCUUGGUUCUUUGCUUCCAAAUGGCAACAAAUUAAGUGCACACCAAUACCUUGAAUCUUGUACGCUGUAGAAGAAACUAAUUUAGCGAAGCAACUAAUCAAACCAAUACAAAUUUAGCGAAGAAACUAAUCAAACCAGUCACGAUGGGCUUGUAGAAUAUACACGCUUGCCCUAACCAUUGAAUAUUGUACACCAAGGCACCACAUAUGAGAGCUUCACCAGUUGUCCGAGCUAUAACAUGACCAAGAAGGCAAAUGCUUAUGUUUAGUCAAUGCAGAUUAAGGGGCCUCAAUAAGAGAGGUAAGGUUUCUCAUGUGAAGGAUGAAGAAGGUUCCAUAUAUAGGAGAAUGGCCCUCGUGAUGUGGUAUAUACCCAUGGUCGACCACUUGUAGUGUCUAUUUGGAAACCCUAAGGAUCCUAAGCUGAUGUACAAGCAUGCAUCUGAUGAGCGUGGGAUGUGUGAUGUCAAGCUCUAACACCUUGCCAAUGCUCGACAAUGGAUGCAUUUUUAAGCCACAUACAUGAAGUUUCCUGAUGAUCCGAGGAAUUCCAUGUUCGCGAGUACCAAUGUGAUGAAACAAUAUUCUAAUUUUAAUAGCAAGCAUUGCAAAUGGGCUGUCAAGCUUACCGUCUUCAUCUUACAUGAUUGUGUCAGAAUCACAUGAACUGUUCAUUGGCCAUCUUAUUUCUAGAUCAAAGCAACCUACAAUUGAGAUAGAUGUGUUUUUGGAGCCACUACUGAAAGAUAUGAAGAAUCUUUGGGAAGAAGGGUCCACAUGUGGGCUGAGUAUCAAAGGGGUACUUUCAUGCUAAGAUCCAUCAUCUUUGUUACCAUCAAUGAUUAUGGGGAUUUGUUUUCACUAACGACGUAGAUCAUAGGGAAUACCAGUUGCAUACUAUGCAUGAAUGAGAUCUACAAUAUUUACCUUGAUGUAUCUUAUAAGAUGGUGUACAUGAGGCAUAUAUGAUUCAUAGUUAGAAAGCACAUGCAGCAGUCUAGUUGUAUCAAUAUAGAAUUUGACAAUAAGGAUGAACCGGAAUCUACCCACCAACUCCAAAGUGCUAUACUGCACGAGUGCUUUGAAUACUAAAGGCAACAAGGUCAUAUUAGGUCUGAAGAUAAAAGAGCGGAAUAGGAGGAAGACAAAGAGGAACAAGUAGAGGAGAGUGUUCUUCCUUUCGAGAAGUCAAUUUUCUUCUAGAACAUGCCAUACUACAAGGAUUUAGAGGUUCCCUAUGCCAUCAUACACACUUGGAGAAGAAUAUUUUCAAAAUAUCAAUUGGCCCCUCUUAGACAUCAAGGGAAAGUCAAAGGAUAGGUUCAAGUCACAGAUGGACCUUGUCAAUCAAAGCAUGAAACUGAAGCUUCACCAAGAUCCACUACCCAAUGGGAAAUUCAACAUCCUAGCUGCGAACAACUACCUAAUUGACUCUUCACUAUAGAUGUUUGACUGCCAAAGUUAUUAAAGUGUUUGUGUGAUACUUCUACCAUCGCUUGACUGAGGAUGCAUCCUCCUAAGGAAUGAAACAGUCUAUGGAAAACCAUCCAUGCAGCAGUGGCAAUGGGGCUGAAUUCCACUAUCAUUUUGAACACCGAAUCAACUGGGAUAGGUGUUAUUGCCGCCAGCCCCAAAAUGACGGUCUAGUGAAGCGAGUGUAAAGAUAGAGUCAUUGCCAUCAGGCCUAAAUGACUGCCAAGUGAACCAUCUAGGAUGGAUGUUAAUUUCUCUGGUAGGUGUUAAUUUACAAGCUAUAGAGACCACUUUGUGUGGGGGCUACAUCACAAUGGAUGAUUUUUAGUCAAAUCCAUGUAUUGAUCAUUAUUAGGAAUCGAAGCUAUACCAAAUAACACAUUAAUUUGGAAACUUAAACUACCUCUUAAAAUCUUAUAUAAGGGAGAAAUCUUGAUAAAAGACAAUUUAGCAAGAUGACAUUGGCAAGGGGAUAGGAAACAUUGUUUUUGUUCUUUAGAGGAAUCCAUACAACAUUUGUUCUUUGAUUGUCAUUUUGCUAAAUCUGUGUGACGAAUGAUUUAGGUUUUGUUUAAUUUAAUACCCCCUACUAGUGUACACAAUAUGUUUACAGGCUGGUUACUAGGGUUUAAUAGGAAACUAAAAGCCAAAAUUGUCGUGGGUGUUAGUGUGAUGUGUUGGGUAAUUUGGUUAACCCAGAAUGAAGUGAAUUUGGUUAACCUGGAAUGAAGUCGUCAUUGAUAGGAUCACAGUAUAGUCUUAUUUGUAGGUUAUCAUUAGAGAGACGUACUAGAUUAGGUUUUGGUCCUUACAUCAGAAGGAGGAGGAUGGCCAAAUGAUGAAGAUGGGAUGCAGGAAGUUUGGGACCACUACGAUGGAGGUGUUUGCAUGAAACAGGUGGAGAUUCAGGAAUAGAAUUACAUGUUAACUGUUGCAUUUAGAACUUCUACCUUUGUCUGCUUUGCUCCAAAACUUUGUUUUUCAGAUUGCUUGAAACCUUGUUUGAUACAUUGUGUUUGGUUGUAAUAUGGAACUACUAUAUGUAUACAUUAGUCAAUCCAAAAGUAGGGAUAUUAACAUAUUUCCUUCACUAAAAAAGGAUGGAUGUUGUCAUUAUAUUACAGCUAAAUAAUUGUGCCAUUUUAUUGAAAAAAGGAUGAUAGGGAAAUCAUUAAAGCAUUGGUGUGAUGCUUCCACCAUAAGUUGAAUGAUAUCGAGCCCUCCUCAGGAAGUAAAUGGGAGGGGAAACUUGUACCACAAACGGGUUAACAAUAGAAGUGACAGUGGAGUUGCCUCUAUUGCAUAAAAACCCAAGCUGCCUGGAUAAGUGUUAUUGCCAGUGUCCCUCCAUGACCGUCUAGCCCAUUUCCAUUUUCAAGGUUAGCCUAUUUAACUAGGGUCUGGAUCCACCUCUUAGACUCAAUCCACACACUCUUGACUCCACACUCUCUUGAGCUAAUCAUCUUUUAUUUCCUCCAUGCCAUGAAGUGUUUAGAUUCCUUAACCUUGCUAGCCCUUAGCACGAGAUGCAGAUCUACAUCCCUCAAUGCUGAGAGCUAGCAACGUUAUGGGGUACAAAGAACCGCAUUGAGAUGAGUUUUGCAAGAUGCUCCUGCUCCAUCCUUUUGUGAGGUGUUGUUAGUGAACAGGGAGGACCUUCAUGAUCACAAAUCUUCUUGCAUAACUUGUGUUAACAAAAGAUCUACAUUCAUCUGGUUCACUGUAUUCAUGGGCUUGAUACUCGAUUGGGGGUGCUUUGAGUUUGGUGAUGUGCUCCUUCUUCAAGAUUUUUGCGUGCAUUGUAUUCCAUCUUGACUAUGAGAGUUGCGUCAUCCCUUGACUAUGAGAGUUGCAAGAUGGGAGGUUGGGAUCCUCAAUGAGGGUGAUGUAAUUUUGUGAUAUGGUGCAUCGUUCUUUAGAUUUGAUAAUCUUUUUACCAAGGAUAGAGACUGCAUCCCUUGACCCUCGGAGGCUACCAACAUUAUGGCAGCGGCUCAGAUCUGUUGUUGUAGACUACAUGUAAACUGCCAUUUUAUAUGGAUCUUUUAUCAUAGAGACCUUAAAUGGAAACUAGAGUAUCACCUUGAGAAUAAAAAAUAACAAUAAAAUACAUUGGAUGGGAUGAAAUGUGACAUUUAAAAAGUACACUGUUUACUUAUAACUUAUCAGGGAAUACAUAUAAUAUAUGGUGUUGAUGGUGGAUAAUGUCAACAAUUUAUAAUUGAAUAAACAUGAGAAAGGGUACAAAUGAAUAAAUCUAUGUAAGUCUAGGGUUUAAAUGUGAUAAGUUCCAUAUGUUCUACUAAAUUAUUAUUUUUUGCAAGAUUAUUCUAGGAACGCAAUCAAGGAGGAUAUAUUCAUUAAGUAAAACAACCAACUUGUUCCAUGAAAUAUACAUUAGAAGACUCUAGAAGGAUCAAGAAGUCACUAUGCAAAAGCGGACCCCAAAAGAGCUCUAAAAGGGACCACCUGGUCUCCCCCUUGUGUCGGUCGGCCUCCCCCUAUGCCGCCUCGCCUCCUCCUUCUAGAAUCUUAUUCCACCGACUCCUAGGUUGCAUCUCUAACGUAUGUUAAGGUCGGUUUGAUCCAAGGGCUCUCGGUGAUUCUCCUUGGCUAUAUAACCUGACCAGAGCCCCCUGAGGCAUAAGUGAUUGAAGAUCUAGUUAUCCAGAGCCAGAAAUCCAAAUUCCUUAGAGUUCCUCUAGUUCUAGGGCUUAGCUAGUAGGAUUACGUCAAGAAGGAGGCAAGUAGAUUAUAUGCUUGGAUUUUGGAAGUUGCCAGGAGUGUGGAUUUUAGGUAUAAUUCAUUGUAACCCUCUCCCUUUGUAUUCUCCACCAUCUUCGUGUGCAUGAUACAGUGUCUAUGGCAACAUUAGUAUUCAUAUUGUUCAUGUUAUUGAUUACAACAUGUAAUAUCUACUUUGAUUAUAUGUUUAGCAUAGUGAGUUUGUUAUUAUGUUUAUGCAUAAGACGUAUAGCACUUACCUUAACAUACACAGGGUAAGUGGUAUGCAUUAUGUAAGUGUGGUGCUUUGAUAUUGAAUUUUUGUGGACGCACUCUAUAUAUCAGGUUCUCAGGUAGUUGGUAGGUGUGAUAGACCUAUUGAUUCUUCUAUAGUCCUCUCUCCUUAUAUUGAAUAAGUAGGGCCCGUGUCGCAAUGGUUGUGCAGAAUCUGUUCCCAAACUUCCUAUCAUUGAUGCCCCUUAUGUGUAGAUGUAAUAGUAAUUCUUAUUGAUGAUUGCUAGAUGUUCUUGCACUAAUUGAAGUAAUAUAUUAAUAGUAAUUACAGAAUGACUUAGGAGUUAUGCUUCUAAUAUUCUAGUUGGACUAGGCUAUUUCUAUAGAUAAAGUGCUCUGAGUAGUUUAUCUAUUUAUCAAUUAUGAUGCUUGAUCUAUACUUAUCAUUUAUAUAUCUUUAUCAUGUGACUUACCCCUGAUUACGAGUAGAGUAUAUGAUAUUGAUUAAGUCUCUCUUACAUAAAGUAUAGUCAUCAAUACUAGUUAUUCACGUAUAAGUUGUACCUUCUUAGUGGUAAAAUUAUAAAUCGAUAACCUAGUAAUACUCAGGUAGAUGGCUACAAUGGUAUAAUUAUUUGUGCUUAAAUAUAUUCAUCUUUAUAAUUCUGGCUGAUCAGAUAAACUAAUAGAUUAAUACCAAAUUACUUCUAGCUCAGUUGCUAGAGAUGGCAACCUAGAUUAAUGCUAAGAGGUAUAGGUUAACAAAAGGUGACUACUGUAUUAGUGACAUGUUAAUAAUUGCCAUAACAUUUCUAGUAUCAUUCUAGUAGCGAUGCUAUGAAAUGUCAAUAAGCAUUCUUAGUAUCGUUGCCAGGGAGGUAUAUAGACUUAGGAAGUAUUGACAACUUUACAUUUAUGAUGGGAUUGAUUGAUUAAUUGAACUCUACUCAGAGAGGCUUACCGUUGUUUUGUCCACUUGUGUAUCUUAUAUGCAGGGUGAUGCAUGAUUGGUUUUGAUCUUCUAAAAAAUUACACAGACAAUCUAGAAGCUUUACUCAAGAAGACUAGAGCUAGAGUCAAGAAAGUUCUUACAGUAGAUUUAGAAGAUAGCUAGGUAAGAAGAAGCUUAACAAUAGAAUUUGAAGCCAUGGCAAACAAGAGUCUCCAUAAAUUCUCUGCUCUAACAACUACCAACAUUCAUACGGGACCUAAAGUCAACAUUGGAGAUAAUGGAAUCUAGCUCAAGCCUGUGCUUAUCACUAUGGUACAAGCUAGUUACUUUUGUGAAAAGACUCAUGAAGAUGCAAAUGCACAUUUACAACACUUUGUGGAGAUUUACAACACCUUCACUAUCAAGGGAGUAACUAAAGAUUAUAUUCUACUCUACCUUUUCCCAUUUUUACUAUUAGGAAAAGCUAAAUAGUGCUUCUAUUCUAACAAAGUGAGACACACUACAUGGGACAACUAUUCAACUGCUUUCCUAGCCAACUUCUUUCCCACGGCAAGACUAGUGCUCUACGUUGGAGAAUCUCAAGCUUUUAGCAACAACAUGAUCAAUCAUUCCUUGAGUCAUGGGAACAUUUUCAAGAUUAUAUUUCAGAAUGUCCUCAUUAUGGGAUGGAGAAUUGGCUACUCUUGCAGACCUUCUAUCAUGGGCUAACCACUAGCACCCAUGAAACUAUGGGCGCUGCUGCUGGAGGUGCUUUCCUGUCACUUAAUAUAGCAAAUGCAAUAAUAGCACUUGUUGAGAAGAUAGCCCCCAACUAGAGCUGAUAUGACUACAUCACCAAGCAAUAUGUCACAACCUCCAAGUCAAGCUACACCCACUCCAGUUUCACCUACACCGACACCAGCCCAAGUCAUCAAUGGACCGAUUAAACGUAGUCGUGCAAAGAAGCUACAACAAGAGGUCCACGCGCUACUUUGUGAGAUUCAUUUUAAUAUUAAUGAUAAUUAUAUACUACCUAAGUGUUGUACCUUGAUUGUACUCAGGUAUAUAGAAGAAGAGAAUGAUGAAUCGGACCCUGAAGAAUGGACCAGUGCAAGUCCCAGAAGACACUAGCAAAACAAACCAGAAGAGUCAAAAACGGACCAGUGGAAGUCAAGAACAGACCAAUACAAAGAAAUCUUCAUAACUCUUUACUCAAAAAAGCUAUGAAGGUCCAUGAGGACUUGUUAGAAAGCUUAUCGAGUCAACAUUCAAAUUAAUCUAGUGGCGACCAGUUUGGAUACUCCAUAUUGUCUGCAGACUAGAAUUAGUAUAGACUGCUCAGAAGGUCAACAGUCUGUCAUGACAGAAUAUUGGUACAACUUGCAUGUAAAAUUGUACCAAUAUACAAUGUUUCGUGCUGGUUGGCAUACAUUGCUGGAAAGCCCUUUGAGUCUAGUGUCACACCUAAGAAAUGGUUCAUCAUUUGGACUUUCCAAUAAGAAGUUAUGGUCAGUUUAUUGGAAACUGCUCUGGAGGCCAACAAUCACACGAAGCGAGUUCGGAAAUCCAUUCCGAGGGGACCUUUCACAGUGCCUUCCCUCAGAAACUCUAUUCCGUUUUCAUACCUAUCUAGCAGCGUUGUUGCUUGUAUAAAUACCCCCAAAGACUCAUUGUAAUCUCAGAUACUUGAUAAUUGAAAUACAGAACCCCUUUGUUCAACUGCGUGCUAACAAAUUCAUAGAGUGAUCUCUACCCCUUUGCUCUUGUGAUUUCCUCGCGAGAUUACAUAGGCGGUGGGUUCAUCCACUGCCAAUUGGUGCUCCUACUCAUUUCAAGGUAUUCCUUGAUUGAUUGUAGGUUGUGUUGGUUGGCUCUUUGAGAGUGUAGUUGGGCGAAUCCUCGAUUUAGGCUGCCGGUUAAAGAUGGUGGUUGGCUUUGAGUUUUAUUUGCCAGGUUGCACUAGUUAUCGCUGCUUGCAGCAAGUUAUCCGGCUGUUUUUCAGCUAGUUAUCGGUGUUCUUCCUACGUCGUGAAGAUAGGGACAACGAGUCGCAUCAAGAGCUAGAAUGAAGAACAUGUUCAACCAUGCAAGAGAGGUGGAGGUAUGCAUCUACUCAAGGAGGAAGACAUGCUAGCUACCAAGAUAGAUCAAGACAAUGAGAAGAAAUAAGUCAUGCAUAUCAAUGAUUCUCACAUGACUUGUGAAGAAUGUGGAGAAACUGGACAUUCAGGGAUAACUUCUCUAAGCUUCAAUAGGAUGUGAGCUACAUCAACAAUAACAACUGUCAUCCUCAACAAAAUCAAGCGUGGAAUAAGCAACACAAGACAAACUAUCAAGGUAAUUACCAAGGUUGUCCUGAAAGUAAUAAUUACAAUAAUUUCAAUCAGCCACCUUUGAGAGAUUUAGUUGCUAGUUAGUGUAUUCUUUUGGAUCAAAUGUUUAAUAAUGUUGCCUCUAAUGAUAAAAUCUUGGAGAACAUAAAUACUAGAAUGGAUACCUUUGAUUCUGCUAUAAAGAACUUACAUAGCUAUAAUAAUAUAAUAGAAUCACAAAUAUCCUAAUUAGCUGAUGCUAUUCCUUCAUCCAAUAAAGGUAAGAUUUUUGGGCAGCCAAAAGAAUUAGAAAUUGCAAAUAUUGUCAAUAUUCACAAUGUAGACUACUUCUACACUCAACCAUCAAAAGUCAAGUGGAUAGACUAUACACUUCCCAACAAGAAAGGUGAUCUAGGGAGAUGUGUCGUUCCUAUCUCCAUUAGACAUCACAUUUUCCAUGAAGCUAUAUGCAAUUUUGGUGCAAGUGUCAACAUCAUGCCUAAGGUAAUUUAUGAAAGAAAUUUAGGAGAUCCUUUGUUGUAAACAAAUAUGUGUUUGCAUCUUUCAAAUUAGUCACUCUACUACCCUGAGGGAGUUCUUGAAGAUGCUAUUAUCAGAGUGGCACAGUCCUAUGUUCCUAUAGACUUUAUGCUCAUUGAGAUAGGAGGACAUGAUAGAGCACCAAUCAUAUUGGGCCAACCAUUGCUUAAUACUUCAAAAGCCAUCAUCUAUGCAAAGAGUGCCAACAUUGUUUUCACCAUCAUGUAUAAGAAGGAGAAGUUCUCGUUCAAAGAUUACAUGUUGCAUUCACCUACUCACCCUUAGAAAGCAUACACACAUGAAGAACCAGUAAUGUCCAAGAAGUAGAAGAACUAAAACUAGAGGAAGAACAAGGUCAACCAAGAUCAACAAGAGACCAACAACAUGAUCAACAUGAUCAUAUCUGAGUAUGACCACAUGUUGGCUCCUCCAUUCCUAGAAAAGAAAGAUGAUCCCAGCAUACCAACAAUUGAAUACAUAAUUAACCAAAGAAUCUACCACAAAUGUCCAAGAGAGAAAGAAAAAUAAAUAAGAUUGCCCUAUUCUAUAGCAAGUGUUUUCAAAUUUCAAAUGAGAGAGAUAAGUUUUCAUGGAGCAAAGUAGAAUUAGGUUCCCACCAUGCUUUCAAUCUUGCCACCAUUUACACCAUUCAUAGCCAUAUCCACCACAUACACCAGUCCAUAUAUAUUCCACACACAUACACAUCUUGAUUUGAUUGUAUGACUUAUUUCUUUGGAUCUAUUGUUUGACUUUACAAAAUAUGCUUUGCAAGUAUGUAUGCACUAUCUCCCCUCCUAUGAACUCCAUAUAAGCUUUGUUAGUUAUAGGAUGAGCGAGAGAGAAGGCAUAACAUCAUUAUUGCCUUGGUAAGGACCCACAAAUACCACAUAUUGAGAGACUUGAGAGAGUCAUACAAAAUAAUCUUAGAGUUUUAUUUAGAAAACAUACAAAAUCUCUAGAAUAAUGGUUGAGCUAAGAGAUUGAGAUAUAGUGGUUGACUUGAUUGUUCUGUCUUUCAAUUGCUCAAGACCCAAGUGAUGGAUACAAGCCCCAUGGUUGAAGGUAAUAUGGGAAUGUUGAAAGUUAGAAUAGUGUAUUCUAAUCCGGAGGAGAAUUUUUGUUUGAACACAUGUGUACUUUUGAGGCGUGAAAGCAUUGUAGCAACUCCUGAUCCAUUGCUGAGUUUAGAUUUUCUAAGGGACUAGCGAAGGUUAAGCUUGGGGGAGCUUGUUGGUGGUCCUUAACUACCAUAGAGCAACCCAUUAACUAAUUGUAAAAAUGAUCAAUACAACAUAAUAUCAAUAUAGAAUAGGGGGAUAUCUAACAGAAUUCCUAGGUUUUGGUUUAUCUCUAUUUUCUAGCGUUGUAUUGAGAAAAUAGCCAAAGAUAUGGAGCAUGUCGAGCUACAAAGAAUAUUCCAACACAACACCAAGUUUACAAGAUUACAGAAGACAUGAGAAGUCAUGCCACCAAAGGUGGGGCCCACGAAGCAUAGGGCUAGGUCACCUGACCUAGG
rnacentral:lncRNA from 1 species